rnacentral:rRNA from 1 species
ACGGGUGCGUAACGCGUAUGCAACCUACCUUAUACAAAGGGAUAGCCCAUGGAAACGUGGAUUAAUACCUUAUGGUACUAUAAAGCUACCUAGUUUAAUAGUUAAAACUUCGGUGGUAUAAGAUGGGCAUGCGUAUGAUUAGAUAGUUGGUGAGGUAACGGCUCACCAAGUCAACGAUCAUUAGGGGUUCUGAGAGGAUUAUCCCCCACACUGGUACUGAGACACGGACCAGACUCCUACGGGAGGCAGCAGUGAGGAAUAUUGGUCAAUGGGCGAGAGCCUGAACCAGCCAUCCCGCGUGCAGGAUGACGGCCCUAUGGGUUGUAAACUGCUUUUGUAUGCCAAGAAAUCUGUCUACGUGUAGAUAGUUGACGGUAGCAUAUGAAUAAGGACCGGCUAACUCCGUGCCAGCAGCCCCGGUGAUACGGAGGGCCCCAGCGUUAUCCGGAGUCAUUGGGUUUAUAUGGCUGCGCAGGCGGGCUUGUAAGUCAGUGGUGCAAUCUUGCGCUUUAGGGUGGAGAUAGCCUUUGAUACUGCCACUCUUGGAUCUGGUUGAUGUA